CCUACGGGGGGCUGCAGUGAGGAAUAUUGGUCAAUGGGCGCGAGCCUGAACCAGCCAAGUAGCGUGAAGGAUGACUGCCCUACGGGUUGUAAACUUCUUUUAUAAAGGAAUAAAGUGAGGCACGAGUGCCUUUUUGUAUGUACUUUAUGAAUAAGGAUGGGCUAACUCCGUGCCAGCAGCCGCGGUAAUAAGGAGGAUCCGAGCGUUAUCCGGAUUUAUUGGGUGUAAAGGGAGCGUAGAUGGGGUGUUAAGUCAGUUGUGAAAGUCUGCGGCUCAACCGUAAAAUUGCAAUUGAUACUGGAAGUCUUGAGUACAGUUGAGGUAGGCGGAAUUCGUGGUGUAGCGGUGAAAUGCUUAGAUAUCACGAAGAACUCCGAUUGCGAAGGCAGCUUACUAAACUGCCACUGACAUUGAUGCUCGAAAGUGUGGGGAUCAAACAGGAUUAGAUACCCGAGUAGUC
rnacentral:rRNA from 1 species